UACAUUCAUUUAUCCCAAAAAAAAAUAUAUGUUUCCGCGGAUUCACAUUUUUUAUAUAUACAUAAAACACCGUAUAAGAUCCAUCCAAAGCUGUGUGUGUGUCUAUGGUUAUAUUAUGUCUACGAUUUUUGUGUAUCACAAAGAGAAAAAGUGACUUCAUAGACUAAUCGUGAUCGACGGAAAUAAAACAUAAAACAGAGGCAAAAGAGUCCAGUCCAGUUUUCCAAAAGGUUUUUUUUUUUUUUUUUUUUUUUNNNNNNNNNNNNUUUUGCAAUAAAGCUAAAGAAACGUGCCUAUUUAUAAAAUUUUAAUCAUAUUUUGUUUAAUGUUUAAGUAAUGUAUAAAAUGAUGCACAUCAACUUUUUUCUAUAAAAAAAUUAAACACAUAAAUACACUUAAGUAAAGUUCGACCAAAAAAAAAAAAGAAAACAAAUCGGCAUACUUCAUAAAAGCACGAAUUUUGAUUUAAAGUUUAGGAGAAGUUUUUAUAUUGAGACCAUAACUCGAUGAAUGAACAUAAAAAAAGUUUUAUUAU
rnacentral:lncRNA from 1 species